rnacentral:rRNA from 1 species
GACGAACGCUGGCGGCGUGCCUAAUACAUGCAAGUCGAGCGAAGUUUUUCUGGUGCUUGCACUAGAAAAACUUAGCGGCGAACGGGUGAGUAACACGUAAAGAACCUGCCUCAUAGACUGGGACAACUAUUGGAAACGAUAGCUAAUACCGGAUAACAGUAUUUCUCGCAUGAGAGAUAUUUAAAAGUUGGUUAUGCUAACACUAUGAGAUGGCUUCGCGGUGCAUUAGCUAGUUGGUGGGGUAAAGGCCCACCAAGGCGACGAUGCAUAGCCGACCUGAGAGGGUGAUCGGCCACACUGGGACUGAGACACGGCCCAGACUCCUACGGGAGGCAGCAGUAGGGAAUCUUCCGCAAUGGGCGAAAGCCUGACGGAGCAACGCCGCGUGAGUGAAGAAGGAUUUCGGUUCGUAAAGCUCUGUUGUUAGGGAAGAAUGGAUAUGUAGUAACUAUACAUGUAAGAGACGGUACCUAACCAGAAAGCCACGGCUAACUACGU